UCUACGGGAGGCAGCAGUGGGGGAUAUUGCACAAUGGGGGAAACCCUGAUGCAGCGACGCCGCGUGUGGGAAGACGGUCCUCUGGAUUGUAAACCACUGUCCCCAGGGACGAAGAUGACGGUACCUGGGGAGGAAGCUCCGGCUAACUACGUGCCAGCAGCCGCGGUAAUACGUAGGGAGCGAGCGUUGUCCGGAAUUACUGGGUGUAAAGGGAGCGUAGGCGGGGAUGCAAGUUGGGUGUCAAAACUACCGGCUCAACUGGUAGUCGCACUCAAAACUGCAGCUCUUGAGUGAAGUAGAGGCAGGCGGAAUUCCUGGUGGAGCGGUGAAAUGCGUAGAUAUUAGGAGGAACACCAGUGGGGAAGGCGGCCUGGUGGGCUUUUACUGACGCUGAGGGUCGAAAGUGUGGGGAGCAAACAGGAAUAGAUACCCGAGUAGUC
rnacentral:rRNA from 1 species